rnacentral:rRNA from 1 species
GAUGAACGCUGGCGGCGUGCCUAAUACAUGCAAGUCGAGCGAACAGACGAGGAGCUUGCUCCUCUGACGUUAGCGGCGGACGGGUGGGUAACACGUGGAUAACCUACCUAUAAGACUGGGAUAACUUCGGGAAACCGGAGCUAAUACCGGAUAAUAUAUUGAACCGCAUGGUUCAAUAGUGAAAGACGGUUUUGCUGUCACUUAUAGAUGGAUCCGCGCCGCAUUAGCUAGUUGGUAAGGCAACGGCUUACCAAGGCAACGAUGCGUAGCCGACCUGAGAGGGUGGUCGGCCACACUGGAACUGAGACACGGUCCAGACUCCUACGGGAGGCAGCAGUAGGGAAUCUUCCGCAAUGGGCGAAAGCCUGACGGAGCAACGCCGCGUGAGUGAUGAAGGUCUUCGGAUCGUAAAACUCUGUUAUUAGGGAAGAACAAAUGUGUAAGUAACUAUGCACGUCUUGACGGUACCUAAUCAGAAAGCCACGGCUAACUACGUG